CCUACGGGUGGCUGCAGUGGGGAAUAUUGCACAAUGGGCGCAAGCCUGAUGCAGCCAUGCCGCGUGUGUGAAGAAGGCCUUCGGGUUGUAAAGCACUUUCAGCGGGGAGGAAGGCGGUGAGGUUAAUAACCUCAUCGAUUGACGUUACCCGCAGAAGAAGCACCGGCUAACUCCGUGCCAGCAGCCGCGGUAAUACGGAGGGUGCAAGCGUUAAUCGGAAUUACUGGGCGUAAAGCGCACGCAGGCGGUCUGUCAAGUCGGAUGUGAAAUCCCCGGGCUCAACCUGGGAACUGCAUUCGAAACUGGCAGGCUAGAGGCUUGUAGAGGGGGGUAGAAUUCCAGGUGUAGCGGUGAAAUGCGUAGAGAUCUGGAGGAAUACCGGUGGCGAAGGCGGCCCCCUGGACAAAGACUGACGCUCAGGUGCGAAAGCGUGGGGAGCAAACAGGAUUAGAUACACUGGUAGUC
rnacentral:rRNA from 1 species